GGUUGAUCCUGCCAGUAGUCAUAUGCUUGUUUCAAAGAUUAAGCCAUGCAAGUCUAAGUAUAAGCUAAUUUAUACGGCAAAACUGCGAAUAGCUCAUUACAACAGUUAUAAUCUACACGACGAUCAUUACCAUAUGGAUAUCCAUGGUAAUUCUGGAGCUAAUACAUGCUAAAACACCCGACUUUUUGGAAGGGUGGCAUUCAUUAGUGACUCAGAACCAAUCACUUCGGUGUUUCUGGUGAUCAUAAUGACGGAGCGGAUCGCAUUUAUGCGACAGUUCGUUCGAGUUU
rnacentral:rRNA from 1 species